GUUUGUCUUAAUUUAAAGGAACAUUUCUAUGAUGGUGAAAGUGGCACUGGUUAUUUAGCAUGGAGGCUCAAAACAAUCCAGAGGAGCAAUGCUACAUCAGCGACCAGAACUUCUCCUCGUCAGACUGGUGGAGGGCCGAAAGCUAAGAGAGAUGCAUUAAGAAGUCCUGAGAUGACCCUGACUGAAGAGCAAUCCAAGGAGGCCAUGUCAUUCAUGAAGUAUUCUUCUGAUGAGGCCACUAUCAAGCAAAAUAUGAAGAUUACAUUUGAAUAUCGUCGUCAGAUCGUCCUCGAUGAAGAGAAAUCCUCAGACGUCCUGACUGAAUUUCCACGGUUCCGAGACGUCAAAGGCCUGGUUGAGCAAGACUUCAUCUUGCAGUUUGGAGAAGAUGUGGCUGCAAAGUUUUUGGAAAGGUGGCCUAAUACAUUCAAACAAAAGAUCAUCCAGCAGAGCAAGGCUCUCCCUACAACAAGUGAACUUGAGGAACUGAUUUAUUGUGCAGAAGCUACCUCAAAUGAAAGGGAAGGGGAUGAGGCCUCUCUUGGCUCUGGAUGGGACAGUGAUCUUUCCUCAAUUAUCCUCCUCCUCCACCUGAUUCCUCCAUCAGCCCAAGGCCGAAAAAGACCUGGCAAGGUGUCAGCAACCCAGGCUGAAAAACAUCUGGUUGUGUUCAUGAAGAGUGGAACGAGCGUCCAGGAACACGUUGAUGCCAUCACCAGCUCCACUCAGCCCUAUCUUCUUGCCAGUGGGAUGAAUAGGGCCACCAUCCAUGAGUUCUUCAUCGUGAUUGACAAGCAGGCCAUACCAUGCAGGUCAACCAGUUCUCUUGGAGCUUUCGACGAACUCUUUAAGACACACUUUGUGUUUGGUAUCAUGUACAAUCAGAUGCUCCAAAACAUGUACACCUUUGUACAGACCACUGUGUUUAACAUAGACGUAGGCAAAGUCCGGGAGAGCCCUCGUGUCGCAGAGAUUCGCGCUAGACUGCUACAGUAGUUUGUGUAUAAAUUAACUCAGAAUGGGGAUGAUUUGUUUUGUUUGCCGGACACAUUUUGUGAGUGUCAUCAUGCUGAUCAGGCAUAUAAGAUUGAUUCAUGGUUUAUGUUCAGGAAAGUCACUGCGCUUAAAAUGCGCUCAAGUAAGAUGUUGUCAUGUUUUUGGAACCUUUUCUGGUUUCAGAAAACACUUAAACUCAAAACAUGCUAAGGAAAUUGAGCCUGAAGUUGAAAUGGAUGAUAUUAUUUACAGUGAUGAUGUUGCAAUUAAUGCUCCGUCACAACAUUUUGAAGUAUCAGCUAGUGGCUCUCAAGUCGUGCCAGUAUCCAACGUGAGUAUUCAUGAUAUGUGUGCCUCUGCUAUUGCACAUCUUCAGGUUUCUGGUGUAGGCCAGUCUAGUGGCCUACACCAGAACUGGUCAAAUAUGGAAGAGGUAGUACUCGAAGUGCAGAGUCAAGCCAAAGAUGCAGCUUUGAAAUGCUUAGCUUCUCAG
ensembl:lncRNA